rnacentral:rRNA from 1 species
AGAACGAACGCUGGCGGCAGGCCUAACACAUGCAAGUCGAACGCUCUCGCAAGAGAGAGUGGCGCACGGGUGCGUAACGCGUGGGAACGUACCUCUAGGUAUGGGACAACCCAGGGAAACUUGGGCUAAUACCAUAUAAUAUCUCCGGAUCAAAGAUUUAUCGCCUAGAGAUCGGCCCGCGUUAGAUUAGCUAGUUGGUGAGGUAAUGGCUCACCAAGGCUACGAUCUAUAGCUGGUCUGAGAGGAUGAUCAGCCACACUGGGACUGAGACACGGCCCAGACUCCUACGGGAGGCAGCAGUGAGGAAUAUUGGACAAUGGGGGAAACCCUGAUCCAGCCAUGCCGCGUGAGUGAUGAAGGCCUUCGGGUUGUAAAACUCUUUUAGAUGUGACGAUGAUGACGGUAACAUCAGAAAAGCUCCGGCUAACUUCGUGCCAGCAGCCGCGGUAA